GUCCUCCAACAUGCCCGGAUCACUGCUCUCUUCUUUCAGUGCAUUUUGCUAUUUCCAAAUACGCAAACAAAUCCCAAAUACGUUCCUUUACCAAAUCUCAUGUUAAUAGCACGCAUGCAUUUGCGGGUUUUGUGCGUCCUGCUGCCUCCCAAGCACGAGUGGAUCUCUUUACAAACCAUGACUGGCUGCAAUUCAGACUGUCGGAGGAGGGCACGUCACCAGAAGAGUGUGAAAACAUCUAAUUACAUGAGGCCAGGUCCUCAGCUAAUGCAAACUGACAGAGCUCCCAGAAGCCCACGAAGACACGAUGCUGCAGAUUAGCAGAGGUUUGGCUGGUUAUAAUUGAGCAGCCCCAACUUAUGCUUUUCCCACCUAGUGACAGAUUGUUGGACUCCUGACCACCAGAAUCUCACGGAGGGCACUGGGGAGUUGAAAGCAGCUUGUAUCAGAGAAAAGUAAACUCUGGUUUGGUUGGACACGUAUUUGGGAUCCAGCUGAAUUAUCAGAAAAGCCUGUUGAAGAGAUGUGCAGUUAGUGUUUUUCUCAUACAAUUUGGGCAUUUUUUGGUUGGGGGAGCUGGGUGGGCAGACUCAGACAGGAGGAAAACCUCGUUCCUUUCUGGCCCCAUCUUCAUAGAAGAGCUGUCAGAGCGAGCCUGCAGAUUCAAGGCAGCUGGAAUUGCCUCAUCCUCCUGGCAUGGACACGAGGAGGGUUUCUCCUGCUCCCUCCCCCCUCGCUUAAUGCAUCGCCUCUUCUGUGGUGGGGAUGUGGUGUGAGGCAGAAGGGGAAGAAGCUUUAGCAGAGCUAUUUCAGUUGUAGGAGCACGCAGUUCUGUCCUGUUCAUCCAGCAUACGGGAUAUAAACAGCAAUGGAAGAGCUGCACUUGAGCCUCUCGCACUCAACUCCCUCACCACCACUGUACCAGGGGACAGAGAACAAGACAUUUUCAGCCUUGCAAGUUCCACAGACUGCCAGCUUCCAAUAUAACUUCUGUCACGUGAGAGAGUGUUGGCACACGAAAGACUCUUGGCCCAGCUUAGCUGUCUUCAUCAUCAGCUCCUCUGCUUGGGGAAAGAAAAAAGCCCAGCAAUGCUAACGUUCUGAGGAAUCAAGAAGUGUAUUCUUCUGCAUACGAAUUGGAUGAACGUGAUUUACCCAGAAGUCAUGAUUUCAAACAAAUAAAACCACUAUUAAAACGGCAACCACAGCCUGUGCUGCCACCUAUCCUUAGUUAAUCUCUGCAUUUUCUGCCGGCUCGUUUUCUACUUGGGAGUGACAGGCGCUGUCCUGGGAGGUCUCCCUCCCUGCUGAUGCAAGAGCCACAGACACCAGCCCUUGCAGCAGGCUCAGGAGCCACAGGAACUGGCUUUUAGUCCUGGAU